UGUGGAAUAUUGCACAAUGGGGGAAACCCUGAUGCAGCGACGCCGCGUGAACGAAGAAGGUAUUCGUAUCGUAAAGUUCUGUCCUAUGGGAAGAUAAUGACAGUACCAUAGAAGAAAGCUCCGGCUAAAUACGUGCCAGCAGCCGCGGUAAUACGUAUGGAGCGAGCGUUGUCCGGAAUUAUUGGGCGUAAAGGGUACGCAGGCGGUUUAAUAAGUCGAAUGUUAAAGAUCGGGGCUCAACCCCGUAAAGCAUUGGAAACUGAUAAGCUUGCGUAGUGGAGAGGAAAGUGGAAUUCCUAGUGUAGUGGUGAAAUACGUAGAUAUUAGGAGGAAUACCAGUAGCGAAGGCGACUUUCUGGACACAAACUGACGCUGAGGUACGAAAGCGUGGGGAGCAAACAGG
rnacentral:rRNA from 1 species